AACUUUCAACAACGGAUCUCUUGGCUCUCGCAUCGAUGAAGAACGCAGCGAAAUGCGAUAAGUAAUGUGAAUUGCAGAAUUCAGUGAAUCAUCGAAUCUUUGAACGCACCUUGCGCCUUUCGGUAUUCUGAAAGGCAUGCCUGUUUGAGUGUCAU
rnacentral:rRNA from 1 species